AUAAUACUCCCUCCGUCCGGAAUUACUUGUCAUCAAAAUGGAUGUGUCUAGAACUAAAAUACAUCUAGAUACAUCCAUUUCAAUGACAAGUAUUUUCGGACGGAGGGNCAAGUAUUUU
rnacentral:pre_miRNA from 1 species